UACGAAGGGGGCUAGCGUUGCUCGGAAUCACUGGGCGUAAAGCGCACGUAGGCGGCUUUCUAAGUCAGGGGUGAAAUCCUGGAGCUCAACUCCAGAACUGCCUUUGAUACUGGAGAGCUUGAGUCCGGAAGAGGUGAGUGGAACUCCGAGUGUAGAGGUGAAAUUCGUAGAUAUUCGCAAGAACACCAGUGGCGAAGGCGGCUCACUGGUCCGGUACUGACGCUGAUGUGCGAAAGCGUGGGGAGCAAACAGG
rnacentral:rRNA from 1 species